UCCCGUCGUGGCAUAAUGGUUAACGAAUCUGACUAGGAACCAUGAGGUUACAGAUUCAAUCCCUAGACUUGCUCAGUUGGUUAAGAAUCCUGUAUUGCCGUGAGCUGUGGUGUAGGUUGCCGACGCAGCUUGGAUCCCGCAUUGCUGUGGCUCUGGCAUAGGCCAGCGGCUACAGCCCCAAUUAUACCCCUAACCUGGGAACCUCCAUAUGCCGAGGGAAGCAGCCCUAGAAAAGGCAAAAAGACCAAAAAAAACACCCAAACAAAAAGACAUCUUUCCCUGAAAGCCUUCAAGGAGUUUAAGCAUUUUCAGCACUACCUGCCCUGGACUCCUUGCUGGGCGCCCUGCAAUAAAUGCUUCACCACAGCCCAGUGUCAGCAGAUCAGCUUUACUGCACAGACCUUAAGGCAGAAGUCCAUUUCGUAAAACUGAUAAACAUAUCUGCUCUCCUUGAAGCAAGGCUAGGGCCCUGUAGAUUUACCUGCAUGUCAUCCAGCUUCCCACCCAACUUUGGCAUCUCCUGGCUUCUUAAAUUCCCAGCCUGGGGUCUCAAGAGGUGUGAUUUGCAAUCUACAGAUCUAGAGGAACUUCAUUUUAGAUAUGGGGAAGCUGAUACUCACCAAAGCAAAGGAUAAAUAGGGAGUUUAAAAAUAUUUUUUUCCUUGCUGGUUGCAUUUUUCCCCUGCUCUGAAGUCUGAAAUACACUGACUAAAGUGGCCUUAGAACACUGACUAAGGUGGCCUGCCAUUCCCUGCAGCUGGACUAAACUUCAGUUUUCUUCCAGACUCUAGACUUCUGACCUCCUUUAUCUUAAAACACUUACUUUAGAAAGUUUGUAAUUGUAAAUCUUCCUCUGCCCCUUUGAGAUGUAAAUCUUUUUCAAAAGCCUCUUGCCAGUUUUACAGCCCGCAAAUGUCUUUCUCAAGGACCUGGGAGCCAAGCCUUUGAAAUUAGAUUGUGGAGGAAGGUGGUGCCCAACCCCCCACCAGUCUCAGUGAGGCUGGGAGGGAAACCUAACUUCAGAGGGCUCCAAAUUGUAAAACUACCUCUUAUCACAAAGACAUUUACUUUUGAGGCAGAAUACUAACUCAGGUAGUAAGCGUAGACGCAUGGGCUGUGAUGGAUUUUUUGAUAUGGCUAUUGAUUAACAUUUGUGGCUUAAGGUUCCAGGGAGUAACAUCUCCACAGGAAGGUAUACCUAUGCCCAAGAGGACCUUAAUCUCUAACCCACUCCUCAACUGAUAGAAAAGGAAUGGUGCCUGGUCUGAGGGAAGAGAAAGGCAAAGAAAUCAUAAAACUUAUGGGACAUUUCCACCCCUAAAGCCCCUAUUGGACAAGGACUGAUAUAGGUAAUCAGGAAAGGCCAAUGAGAGAAAAACCACAUCUUUCUGGACCCCACGUUGGUACCCGCCCCCAUCUUUAAAGGAUAAAAAAACCCUAUAGGAAAAUAGGGUGGGGCCCUUCUCUCCCCUCCCGUAGCCCUGGGAGCUAUUUGCUUUCCUGUAAUAAAGACUUUGCUUGCUUGCUGACUGUUCUCAAAAGUUCACUCUUCAGCUGCAUGAACAAGAACCAGUAACAUCUUUCCCGCAUCACUUUCUCUUGGGGUAAAGCCAAUUAGCAAACACACUGGCCUAAGAUACUUUCCUAAAUCCAGCUCCUAAAAACCCUCCAGCCCUUCUGUUUUAAGGGAUUGAGUGUAGACACAGUUUUUAACUCUCGCCCCUAUUGCAAUAGCCUUCAAUAAAGUCUUCUUUACCUAUUUAAUGUUGGUGCCAAUUGAAAGCUUGAUUCUGCUACUUAACUUGAAAUUCUUAUACCUCUGUAAAAUUAGGUUUAUCAAAUUAGGAUUGCCUAAUAUAGGAGUGAUUCUGAUAGUCAAAUGAGCUAACAUAUGAAAUAUCUUUAGCACAGUGCCUGACAAUAAUAAUAAUAAUAAUACUAAUAAGUGAAGUUGUUACACUACUAAAUUAUCAGGGAGGACAUUAAAUUGUCAUUUUUCUGUCUUGAAAUGGCCAUAUAGUCUACUAUAAUAAUGCUAUUAUCAUAAUUCUUUCUCUUUUCAUUGCAGUGUUAACAUCUGAGGUUUAUUAUGCAAUUAAGUAAAUUCCUAACUAUUUAGGGACAUUUAGCUAACUUGUGAAUUAAUCUUUUCACCUUUCAUGUUAGACUUGGCCCACACAUGGCUUUUUCACUGGCAAUUAGCACCUCCUCUGUUUGGGCUACCACUGCCAGCUUAUUCACACCUCUCCAGAGUAGAUCAAGGAAAGGGAAAGAGAUAAAACCCCCAAACUCAGUCACCAGCAUUGCUUAUGAACAAUGAAGUAAAGUGAUUCUGAGGCAUGUGAUGGUUGAGGAUUCUGUCUUUCAAUGUAUUUCUGGCUUUUUGCCCUGAUGGCUUCUGAUAAGAUCAGUGGCCUGUUGGCUCUGGAUCAAAGGUAAAGAAAUUUUAUUUUAUUAUUUUGGAAAGAGAGUGAUGAGUUCUUUUAACACUUGCUCACUUGAAAUUCAGUUCAUUUCUGAAACUGGGUGCUUUGAGAAUUACAUAGUUCACCUAUAAAGUAAACUAGGCACCAAAAGUUGAAUAAAUAUACCUACUUAAUAAAUUCAUUUCAACCAGACCCAGUGAAUACAAAUGAAGAGAGAUUUUUUAACUUUGCCACAGUUCAAACUCUUUGGACACAGGUUUGAAAAGCUAUAGAAAUGCAUAGAUCGGCUUUAUAAGGCAUGAUUAAAACUGUAUUUUAAUGAUAACAUUUCAUAUUUGUUGAAAUUUUUAAAAAAAUAUUUGCUUAAAAAUUUAUCUACACUUUGAUUUUUUUUAUUAUUCCAAGGCCUGUUAGCAAAUAUUGCUAACCACUACCUAUUGAGAGUAAGUUAACUAGGUCUUCGGGUAUCAUUGGGAAGAUUAAAAUCCCAAAAACCAUUCUAAAGCUCUCUGUACCCCAUCUUUUUUUAACUCCAUAUUUGAGUUUUAUUGAAAUAGACUGCCUGUCAGAGAUUAGGACUGAAGAGUAGGUAAUCUAUUUCAACUUCUCUUUUUUUUUUUUUUUUUUUUUUGCCUUCAGAGAUAUAAAAAAUACAUCAAAGAAGUAUUUUUUGUCACUGUUUUGCCUUUUGAUCCUUGAUAGUCAAAGACUUAAAGUA
rnacentral:lncRNA from 1 species